UACCUUCCUCUCUUCCCUCAGUGCCUG
rnacentral:piRNA from 1 species